AACGAACGCUGGCGGCAUGCCUAACACAUGCAAGUCGAACGAGACCUUCGGGUCUAGUGGCGCACGGGUGCGUAACGCGUGGGAACCUGCCCUUAGGUUCGGAAUAACUCCCCGAAAGGGGUGCUAAUACCGGAUAAUGUCUUCGGACCAAAGAUUUAUCGCCUUUGGAUGGGCCCGCGUUGGAUUCGCUAGUUGGUAGGGUAAAAGCAUAACAAGGCGACGAUCCAUAGCUGGUCUGAGAGGAAGAUCAGCCACACUGGGACUGAGACACGGCCCAGACUCCUACGGGAGGCAGCAGUGGGGAAUAUUGGAAAAUGGGCGAAAGCCUGAACCAGCAAUGCCGCGUGAGUGAUGAAGGCCUUAGGGUUGUAAAGCUCUUUUAACCGGGAAGAUAAUGACAGUACCGGGAGAAUAAGCCCCGGCUAACUCCGUG
rnacentral:rRNA from 1 species